CAGUCCCAUCUGGAGCAGGGGAGCAGUAGAGCGCAGCCUUUGGACUCCCGACCAGUGCGUUCCAUCCAGUCGGAGGUACCUCCGACGUCCGUCCGGGAAGGAUGACAGACACCCAAGGUGAAGCGACUUCCAAGAGUGAAAUGACAAGCCACUUCCGGUUCCAGGCCUUAGGACACCCAGCUAACAAGAUGGGUUUCAGAAAAUCUCCAUUGUCCACUCGUUAUUUUCCACCCGUCCCUCCACCCCUCAAGUCAUCCUGACCAUCCUCUAACACAAAUAUUGUCAUAUUAUCCACAAAAGAGAGUACACCCCAUUUGCUUCUGAAAAGUACCCCCUGGCAGCAUGAGCUCAUCAGCAAACCUCUCCAUCUGCAGCCCUAAUUUCUCUUUAUUGGAAGAUGCUAUCUCCGGCAGAAACCUCUUGCUCACAAACAUCCCUCUUGGGCAGUAACCUGAAAUCCCUCAGGUCUGUGUAUCUGGGCCUCUGAGCAUAGAUUAUGAUCCUAUGGAAACACUAGCCAAGUUGAUCUCUUUAGAGAAAGUUUGACAACUGUUCCACCAUUAUGGACACUGUGAUAACUCACAGAAUAAGGAAACCUCCCCUGAAUUACACUAUACACCAAGAGCCACGCCAUUUUCACCUAUGGCCUUUGAGAUGCAGGGCACAGGAUAGGAAAUUGAACUCUGAGCUUCAAAUGGAGGAGUUGAUCUAUAGGAUCCCCGGAUUCCUGGCUCAACUAGUUUAUGGCUGUGGCUGUGGAUAUAGGACACACGAGGAGAUCAAGACACAGGAGAACAUAUGUCUCACUUCUGGGAAUUUAAGGGAAAUCCUCGUGAAUAAUAUAUUACUGUUAACCUCUUUCUCACCCUGCACAAGCUCCUUAACUUGGCCAAGUCUCAUAGGACUCAUAAGGUUAACACUGCAACGGUAGGUCAUCCGGCACAUGGUAAAUGGAGAAUACAUUUUAUUCCCUUCCUCCUCUUUCUUAGCUACUCAAAAGCUCUCUCCUAUAGAGGUAUCCCCACCUCAGCACAAUCGCCCACAGUCCUGUUUAUCUUCUCCUUAAGAUCUUGUUUAAUUUAAUUUAAUUUUGGUUAAUUUAAAUGCAUAUUGUUUAAACAUUAAUUUAUUUUUAAGAUUUAUUUAUUUAUUUUAUGUAUAUGAGUACAUUGUACAUAUGAGUACAUUGUAGCUGUGUGGAUGGUUGUGAGCCUUCAUGUGACAGUUGGGAAUUGAAUUUAGGACCUCUGCUCGCUCAUGUCAAGCCUGCUCGCUCAGUCCCUGCUUGCUCUGGCCCAAAGAUAUAUUUUUGAUUAUUAUAAAUAAGUACACUGUAGCUGUCUUCAGACGCACCAGAAGAGGGUGUCAGAUCUCAUUACAGGUGGUGGUGAGCCACCAUGUGGUUGCUGGGAUUUGAACUCAGGAUCUUCGGAAGAGCAUUCAGUGCUCUUGCCCACUGAGCCAUCUCGCCAGCCCUUAAAUGCUUAUUUUACACAUUCUGUUUCUUGUUCAGCAAAAAUAAACUAAUCACGUUGUUG
ensembl:lincRNA Gm17540 predicted gene, 17540